rnacentral:rRNA from 1 species
UACGUAGGGUGCGAGCGUUGUCCGGAUUUAUUGGGCGUAAAGAGCUCGUAGGUGGUUCGGUAAGUCGGGUGUGAAACCUCCAGGCUCAACCUGGAGACGCCACCCGAUACUGCUGUGACUGGAGUCCGGUAGGGGAGCGUGGAAUUCCUGGUGUAGCGGUGAAAUGCGCAGAUAUCAGGAGGAACACCAGCGGCGAAGGCGGCGCUCUGGGCCGGUACUGACACUGAGGAGCGAAAGCGUGGGGAGCGAACAGG